CAGUCGCCACGGUAAAACGUAGGUGGCAAGCGUUGUCUGGAAUUAUUGGGCGUAAAGGGCUCGCAGGCGGUUUCCUAAGUCUGAUGUGAAAGCCCCCGGCUCAACCGGGGAGGGUCAUUGGAAACUGGGAAACUUGAGUGCGGAAGGGGAGAGUGGAAUUCCACGUGUAGCGGUGAAAUGCGUAGAGAUGUGGAGGAACCCCAGUGGCGAAGGCGACUCUCUGGUCUGUAACUGACGCUGAGGAGCGAAAGCGUGGGGAGCGAACAGGAUUAGAUACCCCUGUAGUCCCUGUCUCUUAUAC
rnacentral:rRNA from 1 species